GCGAACUGAGGACUGACCCAUGGCCGACUUCAACAUCGCUGGCUCCACUCUGAAGCAGCGACUCGCAUUGGCUCCCAGCGCCGUCUCCGGGAUCAGGACAUCGGCGGUCCUCGAGCCGUUCAAUCGAGGGGCCCACAUCCUGAUUCCACCGGUACGCCCCCUGCCGCUGCCACCGCCGCCAGUACCGGCUCCGCCGCCGGCGCCUCCGGUCCCGGUCGCCGUGCUCCCGACGCUCCCCCCGGUGCCUGACGAGAAUCCCUUCAAUCAUCUCCCGUUUCCCGCGC
rnacentral:misc_RNA from 1 species